UAGUGAACCCACCUGUUGACACUGUCAGGGUUAAGGUCAUGUGUUGGGGACCUAAGGGCUGUGGUAAGAUAUAUUCUGUCAGGGUUAAGGUCAUGUGUUGGGGACCUAAGGGCUGUGGCAGUUAUAUUCUGUCAGGGUUAAGGUCAUGUGUUGGGGACCUAAGGGCUGUGGCAGUUAUAUUUUGUCAGGGUUAAGGUCAUGUGACUUGGGGACCUAAGGGCUGUGGCAGUUAUAUUCUGUCAGGGUUAAGGUCAUGUCUUGGGGACCUAAGGGCUGUCUGUGGCAGUUAUAUUCUGUCACCUUAUAAACAGCUACAUUUUAAAGUCUAAUAAAUCACCUGAUUAAAUACCA